AAUAGAUACCCUGGUAGUCCAUGCCGUAAACGUUGGGAACUAGAUGUGGGGACCAUUCCACGGUUUCCGUGUCGCAGCUAACGCAUUAAGUUCCCCGCCUGGGGAGUACGGCCGCAAGGCUAAAACUCAAAGGAAUUGACGGGGGCCCGCACAAGCGGCGGAGCAUGCGGAUUAAUUCGAUGCAACGCGAAGAACCUUACCAAGGCUUGACAUAUACGAGAACGCUCUAGAAAUAGAGAACUCUUUGGACACUCGUAUACAGGUGGUGCAUGGUUGUCGUCAGCUCGUGUCGUGAGAUGUUGGGUUAAGUCCCGCAACGAGCGCAACCCUCGUCGUAUGUUGCCAGCACGUAAUGGUGGGAACUCAUAUGAGACUGCCGGGGUCAACUCGGAGGAAGGUGGGGAUGAGGUCAAAUCAUCAUGCCCCUUAUGUCUUGGGCUUCACGCAUGCUACAAUGGCCGUACAAAGGGCUGCAAUACCGCAAGGUGGAGCGAAUCCCAAAAAGCCGGUCUCAGUUCGGA
rnacentral:rRNA from 1 species